CUUAGUAGCAUUUCUGUAUUUUUUCCUUGGCAUGUUUGUAAUGGUGGCGUACUACAAGGCACGUGGUACUGACAUGAUCCCCAAUAAAAACUUUUGGAUGGGAUUUCCAUUUCUUGUGAAGGACGGGUGCGUCUUCGUGUUCCGCGGGUGCAAAUCCGGUGAGGGCUCAUACCAAAAAGUAUAACGUCAACUGCAAAAACUGAGAUCCAUUACACAUGUGCCCAGAUCUAUUUUUGAAUUUGCAAUUUAGGUUUAACUUAUUUGCUUCCGGUACAUUCGCUAUGGUUAUUCGCUGUAAUUAUCUUUAGGCAGACAGUGCAAGUCCAAAAAAAAAAAAAAAAAAAAAAAA